CAAGAGGUAGUUUAAUAAAAAUAUUAAUUUUGGGGAUUAAUGAUAAAGAAUAUUCUUUUCUCUUGA
rnacentral:tRNA from 1 species